UUCGCAAUGCCCGAAAGGGUGACGAAGCGACGCCGCGUGGGUGAGGAAGGCCUUCGGGUUGUAAAGCCCUGUCAGGAGUUAAGAAAUGUAAGUGCGCUAAUAUCGCAUUUAUUUGACGAAGGCUCCAAAGGUAGUCACGGCUAACUCUGUGCCAGCAGCCGCGGUAAUACAGAGGUGGCAAGCGUUGUUCGGAAUUAUUGGGCGUAAAGAGCACGUAGGUGGGUUUGUAAGUCAGAUGUGAAAGCCUUCUGUUCAACGGAAGAAUUGCAUCUGAAACUGCGAGUCUUGAGUGUAGGAGGGGAGAAUGGAACUUCUGGUGGAGCGGUGAAAUGCGUAGAUAUCAGAAGGAACGCCGGCGGCGAAAGCGAUUCUCUGGCCUAUUACUGACACUCAGUGUGCGAAAGCUAGGGGAGCAAACGGGAUUAGAUACCCCGGUAGUCCCAGCCGUAAACGAUGGGCACUAAGUAGAGGGGUUUU
rnacentral:rRNA from 2 species